ACACAUGCAAGUCGCGGGGCAGCAUGGGGGUUGCUUGCAACCCCCGAUGGCGACCGGCGCACGGGUGAGUAACGCGUAUCCAACCUGCCCUUCACCACGGGAUAACCCGGCGAAAGUCGGACUAAUACCGUAUGUUGUCCAUUGACGGCAUCCGAUUUGGACGAAAGGCUUUGCGGUGAAGGAUGGGGAUGCGUCCGAUUAGCUUGACGGCGGGGUAACGGCCCACCGUGGCUACGAUCGGUAGGGGUUCUGAGAGGAAGGUCCCCCACACUGGAACUGAGACACGGUCCAGACUCCUACGGGAGGCAGCAGUGAGGAAUAUUGGUCAAUGGGCGCAAGCCUGAACCAGCCAAGUAGCGUGCAGGAUGACGGCCCUAUGGGUUGUAAACUGCUUUUAUGCGGGGAUAAAGUGGCCCACGUGUGGGCUUUUGCAGGUACCGCAUGAAUAAGGACCGGCUAAUUCCGUGCCAGCAGCCGCGGUAAUCCGGAAGGUCCGGGCGUUAUCCGGAUUUAUUGGGUUUAAAGGGAGCGUAGGCCGCGCCUUAAGCGUGUUGUGAAAUCCGGUUGCUCAACAUCCGGCUUGCAGCGCGAACUGGGGCGCUUGAGUGCGCUGAAAGUAGGCGGAAUUCGUGGUGUAGCGGUGAAAUGCUUAGAUAUCACGAGGAACUCCGAUUGCGAAGGCAGCCUACUGUAGCGCUACUGACGCUGGUGCUCGAAGCGUGGGUAUCGAACAGGAUUAGAUACCCUGGUAGUCCACGCGGUAAACGAUGGAUGCUCGUUGUCGGCCCUUUGGGUCGGUGACC
rnacentral:rRNA from 1 species